rnacentral:miRNA from 1 species
CGAGCCCCCAACUUUCGUUCU